UACGUAGGGUGCAAGCGUUGUCCGGAAUUAUUGGGCGUAAAGAGCUUGUAGGCGGUUUGUCGCGUCUGAUGUGAAAGCCCUGGGCUCAACCUGGGAAUUGCAUUGGAUACUGGCAGGCUAGAGUGCGGUAGAGGAUGGCGGAAUUCCCGGUGUAGCAGUGAAAUGCGUAGAGAUCGGGAGGAACAUCUGUGGCGAAGGCGGCCAUCUGGACCAGCACUGACACUGAGGCACGAAAGCGUGGGGAGCAAACAGG
rnacentral:rRNA from 1 species